UACGUAGGUGGCCAGUGUUGUCCGGAAUUAUUGGGCGUAAAGCGCGCGCAGGCGGCCUCUUAAGUCUGAUGUGAAAGCGCCCGGCUCAACCGGGGAGGGCCAAUGGCAACUGGGAGACUUGAGUACAGAAGAGGAGAGUGGAAUUCCACGUGUAGCGGUGAAAGGCGUAGUUAUGUGGAGGAACACCUGUGGCGAAGGCGACUCUCUGGUCUGUAACUGACGCUGAGGCGCGAAAGCGUGGGGAGCAAACAGG
rnacentral:misc_RNA from 1 species